UACGAAGGGGGCUAGCGUUGUUCGGAAUUACUGGGCGUAAAGCGCGCGCAGGCGGCUCUUCAAGUCAGGGGUGAAAGCCCAGAGCUCAACUCUGGAACUGCCUUUGAGACUGAAGAGCUUGAGUACGGGAGAGGUGAGUGGAAUUCCCAGUGUAGAGGUGAAAUUCGUAGAUAUUGGGAAGAACACCGGUGGCGAAGGCGGCGUCAC
rnacentral:rRNA from 1 species